GCAUUAAUGGGGUAGUGGUAACCUCAGUCGUUGCCAUUCAAUGUGCACGACUCGACUGGCCCUGGGUUCGAUUCCCAGUUAAUGCA